AAAGAUUAAUUUGCUCAAUUAUUAUUCUAUUUGUUUAUGUUUAGUUUGAUUGUAUUAGGUGUCUACUGCUAGUAUUUGGUUCAAUUAAAAUUGAUUUAGAAACUUAAUUCUACAGCUUUAAGGAACACAUCUCUCUCUCUAUCUCUGUCUCACUCUCUCACUCUGUCAUCAGUUAAAUGGCUUUAAAAUUCGUAAAUUGUAAGCCAAACAUAAAUUACUUAAAUGUGGCAAUCGUUAUUAUUGUUCUCGUUGUUUUUGUUGUUGUUGUUUUUUGUUGCUAAUAAAAAUUGAAUAAAAUCGCGCGUUCAAUAACAACAACUGUCCGUUGAGUGUGUGGAGGGGCUGGGCGAGGGAAAAAUCGGUAAAUCGAGACAGCAACAGCCCCGCUUUUGGGGGCUGCUCUCCAGUUGGUGAUGACCCCGUUUUGUCAGUUUGUUGAAAAGAAAAAUCAAUUAAAUAUCAAAUAGACCUCAACAACAACAACAACAACAACAACAACAACCACGAUUACAAAAUCUCGAUUGUUCAAAUAUAGCGCAUUGCAUUGUAUCGAGAGAAACGCAAAUUCAUUUGCGUAAUGUAUAACUGGCAUAUGAUAUAUGAUGUGCAUGUUUAAGCAGUAGAACAGUUUUCAUAGUGAAACCGAAAGCGAAUUUGUCCAGUCCAGUCAAGUGUCGGAGACGUCAAACUGUGCUAAUGCUGUUUACUCUUUCACUUCCAUUUGCACUUCUAUAUAACUACCUGCUACGCCCCUGGCCCGUGCUAACACGUGUAAGAGUAAAGUACAGUCGCGUUUGUUUUCGAUAUACAUUUUUUUUUUUUCGUGCCGUUGUGGAUUUCCUUGUUUUGCAUUGUUGCAUUCAACUUUUGUUGCUGCCUGCUAUUAUUAGCCUAACAUGUUUAAAUCGCAUUGUUGUUGCUUUUUUGUAAUUUACCUGUGCACUCAUGUCUGUAAUUAUCCAGCCAACCUUGUCAUACUGCAGUUCUCUCAGCUCAUCGUCGCUACCAAAUCUGACACUUCCCCUGGUACAGUUUUUUAUUAUAGUCUCUAGGCUUUUUAUAUAAUUUGCAUGCAAUUCGCAUUACAAGUGAAUACCCUAUAAAAUUUCAUUUCAUUUUUCGUGACUUCUAUUGCAAAUAUAGAAAAUGUCUCUGUAUUAACUUCGACGCCCUUAAGGUUGUGCAUUUAAAAACUCUACUCUACUAUACUCAUGUAUGCAGGUGUCUUUUGACAUGUCAGGAUUAAAAGGCUACUCCUCAUGUGCGCCUGGAAAAUCAGAAAAAUCUUUAUCUUUCACAGUUCUCCAGCAAAGACUCUAAUAUUGAGCCCAUUCUAAAGAUUGAUUCAUAUAUGAAAAAUCUUUAUAAUCUGUGCAUAUAGCCUGUUUUACUGAGUUAUUGGACUGUGAACGAUUGAAAUUAUAACUUCUAGUGUUUUGUAUAUACUUUGCAUUUGAGUGGUUUCUAAUUAUUUCUCUCUCGCAAAUUUUCAUUUCAAUUUUGAGUUCUCUAUUCCAGUUUUUACUCCCAUCAUUUGAGUGUGUAUUUAUUGUUGGCCGCUUGUUAGAUGUUAAUUGAAAUUAAUUAACACAUUGAGUUCGGAAUUCUGCUGCUCUACUAUUGUUGGAAAUCCGAUUCCGUCUGGCGGCCCUGCUGCCUAUUUUUUUUUUCCUACUCUGUUUGUCAUAUGACGUUAUGGGGUAAAUAAUAUUUAGCACCGCAAUUUAAUUGUAUACUGAAAGCAUUCGUUAUGAUAUAGGCGUUAAUAAAAUUUUAAAUAGCUUUGCUCAUAGAUAUUGUUAAUGGUGCAUACACAUAUAUUAAUAUAUUUCUUAUCGUUCGUCUAUGGCCUACAUUGUGGCACGCGGCCAUGUGGCAAAUGGGAGGCUUGUUUCUGCCUAAAUUGUCAAACAGCAAUAGCCAGAGGAUGAAACUUUUGCAAUUGAAUUCGUAUUAGAUCCGUGUGCAGUUGAAAAUUAUGUCAACAUUUUAUUUUUGUUUUAAGAAAUUAACUUUGUCGAAUACAUACUUGGAAAUUUUUUGUCCUCUACUCAAGUGUAAUAAACUGGAAUCCUGUUCUUUCUUAUGUUUUGGGCGAGAACAGAAAUGGUUUCUUCCCUCUUCAAACUUCAUUUCCUAACGUGGCGAAUGGCCGAAAAAGGUGUGCAUUUAAAGAUUCUUACGAUGUGUCCCACACUUUUUUUUUUGAUAUACAAAGAAUUAGUAUUUCACCUUGUAUAGAGAGUUCUUCUGGUAUUUCCCGGCCUUAACCGAUCGAGAUUUUUGUUUCAAAUUUUAGACAUCAAUUUAUUACCAAUUUUCCGCCCGUAGUGCAUUUAGAGCAGCUUCUUUUAAGACCCAAGAGUUGGAAUUAAGGUUUAUUUUAAAUCAAAAAUUCCUAAACCCCUUCUUAGUGUGCAGCUUCAUCAGUUCAUGUUAGUCAAUCAAUCAGAACACACUUUUUAUAUAGAGACAGAUUGUGUACUCAUUGCAUUGCACCCAAGUACUUCCCAUGGGAAAAAUUACUAUAUUUUUAUUAUAGGAUUGUGAAAGUGUUAUGUUUUAUUAAUGCGGGAUUUGUGGCCUUCCUCAGCUGUGCAAACUUAAGUCUGCCGUCCCAUAUUCUCACAGUCGCAGACGCACCUCAAUGCCCAGUGGCAAUGAGAGAGUGAACAGCCUUGUGGGUCGCCCCUUCUGACGCCCAUUGGGGCUAGGGUCUUAUCAAGUGUUAAUAUUUACAGCGCGUAAUUGUAAGUACUUGGGGGCAAGACCCAGAGCUGCAGCUCCCACAUUGCGUAUCACUUGGGAUUAUUAAUUAGGCAUUUAUUAAUGACAAAUAGGCGGCAAUGGCAACAGCAUCGCUUCGUUGACUUCUCCGAAUCACGUGUGCAUUAUUUUAGCUCUUUUCCUGAUAACAGGCAGAGCACCCACCUUAUCGACAAGCAUGUUUUUGGGCGGGUUUAUCGUAAGGCCCAUAUCAGAGAGAGGGCGCAAAGUUCAGCUACCGAAAUGAGUUCACAUUAAUGAGGCACCGAUUGUGAUUUACUCUAAUAAUAAUAAUAAUAAUAAUGUUGUUCGUCCAAACGGAACUUUAUGGAACUUCUCUAUCUCUGUUUCUGAGUGGGUGCUGCCCACACUUGUAAUGGACAUGGAUUAAGUAUUGUUAUAGGGUACUUGCUGCAAUGGCCAACAAAUUGAUUGGACAGCAAGAGUCAGCGAUAUGUGGCAUGCCUUAUCGUCGAGCAGUAACAACAGUUGCUGUGGCGAUCAUUUAGUGACAGUUAUCUCUAAUGUUGUUGUUAUUGCUGCUGUUAGACGUGUCCGAUUAAAGUGCAGUAAAAUCAGCUGCGGGACUCUAUUCAAUUUCCUCUAUUGUCGGUCAGGCGCAUCUCUAUUGUCUAUGCUGAUUAGCGACGUGUGUACUAAGUCUAUAUUGACUUUUUGAUAUUGUGAGCUACUUUCUGAACUGUACAUAAAUACACAGUAUAUUCACAUUGCUAUUUACAUACAGUUGCACUCCAUUCAAGUCUUUAAUUUCGAGAUAAAAAAACGAAACAACAAAUCAAUUAAAAUACAUGUCAAAAUUUAGGGAUAGGAAAUUUUCGGUAAGAACAACAGCAACAUCCGAUUCAAAUAAAAAUAUCAUAUAUGACAUCAAUUGGUAUCAAU